UACAUAAUCAUUUUAUGAAUAUUGUAAGUGAUCUGGCCAGGUAGGCAAACCUAUAAGAAUAUGUUCAUCUAGCAGCUGUUGGAAGAACAGGCAGGAAAAAAAUAUAAUGCUGAUAAAUAAGCAGCCUCCCAGCAUACACAUUUGGGGGGAAGGGGAAGGAGUAAUUACAUGACUACGUUCUACUUUCAGGCUCUGACCUGAAGUUACAGAGCCGUGAGUUAACAGAGUAAAGGGGCACAGAACAGUUGAAGUAAGAAGGGAGAUGAAGCAACUUUUAAGGACCCACUCCCCAAUAUAGAGGAAAGAGAAGUGGAGAUACUGAACACAAGCAAAUCAUGAUUAGUGCCUGGGGGCUUCAGCCCAGGGCCCAGCCUGAGAUUCCGUCCAACAGGGAUAUCUGUUUGGUCCUUGGAGAGGAUGUUUCACCAGUAAAUCUCAAAUUGCUUUACAAAGGAGAAACAGAACUACAUCUAGUGGACACACAAUAAGAUGACAGGACAGGAGAUACGAAUACCUGAAAGGCACAAGGAGCACAUUUAUCAUCUCUUCAGAGCAUCUGCCUUUCUAAGGGGAUGGAGAAGUGCUCAUUUGAAGUACUAAGAAUUUCUGCAAAAUUUUCAGUGUCAUGAAGACAUGGUGGGAAGUGUAUAUAGUGCCUGGUCAUCCAGAGCACUGCAAAUCAUGGCAAGAGCAUGUAUUCCUAGCAGUCUACAGUCAGGGGGGCUGGUAUGCUGACAUCUCAGUAUGAUUUGCAAUGGCUCCCAUCUUUGUACGUUCCCAAGGACUGAAGAGUACAGAAGAAAGUGCCAAUUGGCUGACCCUCCAUGGACCAGGUCCACCCAGGGAUUCCCCCUCAUGUGAUGGAAGUGCAGUGUCACAGCUUCCCUGGUGAGUUUCCACUCCUAACGGCUGAUCAAUUACACUCCCAACCUGGAGUUGAUCUCUGUUCUCCUUAGAUGUUUUCUUCUUUCAACUACCAUAAAGAGAAUUACUCUCAUUGGGUGCAUGUACAUAAGUGCGGAAGUUGCUCCGAUGUGCUGGCAAUUACCACACUCCAACAGCUUCCCAGGUCUUGUGUAUCAGAGUCUCUGUGCUUCAAAAUGGUGGCAGGGGCACUUGAACUAAGGCUCAAUCAAAAGAAACCAAAAGGGAAAAAAAAGAAAAAUCACUUACUACGAAGAAAAACAGAAUGUGUGUUGUGGAAAACAUGAAGGACACCUCUUUUGACUCUAUGUCCUUUAAAACAUCAUCUUCAACGUGUUAUACUGGACCACUAAACAUCUCUUCAGUCUGAGGGCACAGAAUUCACCGCAAAAGGUGGAAGCAUUGGUACUAGCAGGCUAAUCAGUCACACCUUUCACUCUAACGAAUUAGGAAAUCACCUGAGCAGUGCAUACAAGUCAUUUCAACCAAUAUAAAUCCCACUUAUGCUGGGCUAGUUACAGUAACUGAAUAACUGACCCUGUUAGCAACAGAAAGCAGCUCUUGCUAGUUAACUCAGUUGCUAACAGAAUGAUUCUAUAAAAAAUGAAUUUUCUCUGUCUCAUACAAGUGCGUGUUCACAGACACACAUGCACUUUAUGAUUUAAAUGAGUAAUACACUACACAUCUGGUAACAACUGGUAUUAGUUAAGAAAAAUAUCAUCUGAGGUCAGAUGGAAGUAUUAUUCUCUGGAUUUAGAGCUGCAUAAAUAAUUAUUGCCUAAAUUAUCAUUUUUAAUCUGUUUGUAACUUAUGCAGCCUAGCUUUCCCUCUCAUGCCAUAAUUUCUAUAAAUGUAGGACACGUCCUUACUAUAUGUAUUUUUGGGCAUUUGUUAAUACUUUGACAUAUCAAGAUUUGUUAAUAGAUUUAAUCUGAUUUUCUAUUAUUUUUGAAGUUAUUUGCAGUUUAAUACAUUCCUUAGCGUUAGGCAUAUGGCCUUCUGCGCAUCAGAAGCCCAAAUGCAGAUCUGCUCAGCAUCUCCCAGUUGCUGCCAAUGACACUAUAAUCUCAUAUCAACAAGACACAUUUAUUGUAUAACUACUGGGUAUGCAAUGCAUUUUCUGUCCAAUAUACCUUUGAUAUAACGCACAAAGGGGUGAAAGUAUACAGAUGCACACAAAGCUUUUUGACCAAUAGCAACUUAAAAUAAUUUUAAAAUGCCAGGCAACAUAUACUUUUUUUGUUGUCAGUGCUCUUAUAUUCAGUGUAAUCAUCAGGGAUACUAGUUUUCUGCUAAAAAAUCUAAAAUUCUCUAAUAAAAACUCCAAAAUUCUUUGGUUAAAACCCCCCAAUUCCACAUUUUUCUGUGAUUAAAAUGAAAUGUCACUAUAUAUAGAAGUAUCAACUGCACACAAUGUUCUAUUGAUAUAUUUCUAAUUUUAAAGCAAUUUGGAAGUCUACCAGUGCCUCAAUCAUUAUAAAAAAAAAAAAAAAUUCUAAAUACGUAUAUAUUUUGGCACUUGAUUUUGCUUUUUUUUAUCAUGGAAAAUCAGAGCCCCCCUCUGCCCCCUUUGCUCACCAGAAUGUGAGUCCAACUGUGGCUGCUCCUCCUGUCCCAUUCUUUGUGGCAUUGAGCAGCCCUGAUAUGCCAGUGCCCUUCCCUUACCCAUGCCAUUGCCCCUUACUCCCAACCCACAACCCCCCACACCUCCACCCUGCUAGUGGCCCUCACUCCCAAACCACAGUCCCCCAUACACCCAGCCCUGCUGGUGCCUCUCACUCCUGACCUGCUGCCCCCUGUCCCCAGGUUCCAGUCCCCUAGUAUGUGGGGAAAGGUGUGUGUGCGUGUGUAUGUGUGUGUGGGGCAGGGGGUGUGUGGGCAUAGGUGAUGCCAUAGGCAAUAUGUCAGGGGGGCAUGAACAGGCAUGUGCCUCCCCAGAUUUCUGUACCCACAGUGGAACAUGGGGCUGCAGCGUGGCUGGACUGGCACUGGGCAGGCUGCCGCCCCAUGCCACAGCAGGUGGAACCCAGUCUGGGAGGGAGCGUUGUGCCACUAUGGCCACUCAGCAGCAGUGGCAGGGCGCAACUUGGCACCACCACUGCAAGCCACAUGCCAGCUGUACUGUCACGGCUGUCAAGGUGAGCUCCACUGGAGGCACUACGGAGUUGUGCCCCCCUGCUGUUACUGGGAGGGUGGGGGCACCUCAUCUUGGAGGCCAUGGUGGUGUGGUGCUUGAGGUGGCAGCAGCACCGAGCCUGCCCAACCCACUACGCUCUUCCACACUGCGUCCCGCAUGCUGGGCUGCAGAGGUGGCUUCUGCAGGUGCCAGUCCAGCCAGGCUGCAGCCCUGCACCCUGUUGUAGGUGCAGAAAUCUGGGG